AACGAACGCUGGCGGCAUGCCUAACACAUGCAAGUCGAACGCCUGUAGCAAUACAGGAGUGGCAGACGGGUGCAUAACACGUGGGAACCUACCCUUGGGUUCGGAAUAACCGCGGGAAACUGCGGCUAAUACCGGAUACGUCCUCUGGGAGAAAGAUUCAUCGCCCUUGGAGGGGCCCGCGUCGGAUUAGCUAGUUGGUGAGGUAACGGCUCACCAAGGCGACGAUCCGUAGCUGAUCUGAGAGGAUGAUCAGCCACACUGGAACUGAGACACGGUCCAGACUCCUACGGGAGGCAGCAGUGGGGAAUAUUGGACAAUGGGGGCAACCCUGAUCCAGCAAUGCCGCGUGGGUGAUGAAGGCCUUUGGGUUGUAAAGCCCUUUUGGCAGGGACGAUGAUGACGGUACCUGCAGAAUAAGCCCCGGCUAACUUCGUGCCAGCCGCCGCGGUAA
rnacentral:rRNA from 1 species